CAUCUUUCCACAGCUUUGCAAUACCUUUCCUGGAAAUGUUUGCCACAGGCUUGAAACUUCCCAGAAGACUCCUGCCAUGAAAGGAAACCUCUCGCAACCCCUGGCUGCCCAUCACAAGGGGGCACAGGAAGCAAAGCUGCUCAGCUCUGGUUCCUGGCGUCAAACACCCUGGCUGUCCCCACACCGACGGUGUCCCCCGGGAAAAGGAUGCCGGGGUGGAGCACGGGGGGGGAAAGCUGCUCCCACCCACCACAGCCAUAAUCUCCUCCAGCUGUGGCCGCUGCAACGUGCCAGCGAGGGAGGGAGAGAGGGGGGACAACAGGAAAAUAACUCCGGAGAGAGAGGACAAGCUCGAAAUAAGAAAUUUGAUUCUGAGCCGGGUGAGGAUACGUGUCUGCUCCCUCCCCGGCACAACCGCAGCUCCAGCACAGGCGUUUCCACUCCCCGGGGACGCAGCCCCCGGUGAGGGAGGUGUUUGCCCAAGGUCCCGCUUCCCUGGGAAUCGCCUGCCCCUCUGGCCCCGAGGCCAAAAGCAAACCCGAUGCCAGCUGUCACCGAUCAAGCCGCAUGGGGAUGGGGCACAGGGUUUCCAACACCGCGAGGCCGGUUGUUUUCUAGCGGAGAAAACGGGAUUUGAACAAUUCCCACCAGCAUCACCGUCGCGUUUCCCCACGUCCCAGCCUGAUUCAUCACGUUAUUCGUGACCUUUCUCGCCGUGAGUCACCAGGACUCCUGCCACACGCCAGAGCCCAGCACGGGGCUGGUGCUGGGGAGCGACGCCGGGCACCCGAGUGGGAGAAAAGGAGCCGUUGCCACCACCAGAAGGUCCCCAGGGGACCCUUCCCACUCGCUGUCUGACGGUCACUGCCACCGCCGCAGCCAGGUUCAGGUUUGCACCCCCAGAGCGUGGGGCUGGGCUGGCAGCGUGCCUCCCGUGGGGCUGUGGCCAACAAGCUCAAAGGCUGGGCGAGAACCCCAGGGACUUUGAGCCAAAGCCGUGCAGGUCAGCAGCACGGGGAGGGCUUCUGGAG
rnacentral:lncRNA from 1 species